rnacentral:lncRNA from 1 species
CCAGUUCUUAUUUGCAUACCACCCUCAUCGUUUCAAGGGCCCCCUUAUGCAAAUACACGCUCGGUUCUUCCGAGGAGGCGGGGCCUGCAUGUAAAUGAGGGGGCUUGAGGUGGGGCUCACACCAAGAGGAAACCGGUUCUGGGAAUCCCUUUGCAGCACCGCGCUUGUUUUGGUUGUUGCGCGGGGUUGUUGUUGGUAGUGGUGGCGGUGUGUGUGUGUAUUUACACUUAAAAAAUAACUGCGCAGUAUCCUUUCCUGGGAAGUUGGUUUGCCGCCGCUGCCUGGAUAUUAGCACAGAGAUAGCGCCAGGCCGGGCUUCUAAGAAUUCGCGCUUGUGGCUAUCCAAGACUCCGUCUCGAAAGGUGCUUGUCGGACUCCUUCACCGGAGUCCUCCAGGCGACUGGCGGCCUUCACUGGAAAGCUGAGGCCAGGGCCCUGGAAAUAUCUGGUAGCCAGGGAGGGGGAACCCCUACCAUCAACGCCACGGGUGUGCAUUGGUCAAAGGCAGCAUUGCCUGGACAUUACAGAUGGCGGAUCUUGUCAACACCUGCAGGGCACGGGUGCCCCAUCUGCCAAGGCUGCUCCCACACUCCCUACAC